rnacentral:rRNA from 1 species
AGUGAACGCUGGCGGUAGGCCUAACACAUGCAAGUCGAACGGCAGCACAGUAAGAGCUUGCUCUUACGGGUGGCGAGUGGCGGACGGGUGAGGAAUACAUCGGAAUCUACUUUUUCGUGGGGGAUAACGUAGGGAAACUUACGCUAAUACCGCAUACGACCUACGGGUGAAAGCAGGGGAUCUUCGGACCUUGCGCGAUUGAAUGAGCCGAUGUCGGAUUAGCUAGUUGGCGGGGUAAAGGCCCACCAAGGCGACGAUCCGUAGCUGGUCUGAGAGGAUGAUCAGCCACACUGGGACUGAGACACGGUCCAGACUCCUACGGGAGGCAGCAGUGGGGAAUAUUGGACAAUGGGCGCAAGCCUGAUCCAGCCAUACCGCGUGGGUGAAGAAGGCCUUCGGGUUGUAAAGCCCUUUUGUUGGGAAAGAAAAGCAGCAGGUUAAUACCCCGCUGUUCUGACGGUACCCAAAGAAUAAGCACCGGCUAACUUCG